rnacentral:rRNA from 1 species
GACAGAGGUGCCAAGCGUUAGGCGGAAUCACUGGGCUUAAAGCGUGUGUAGGCGGAAUUGUAAGUACCUUGUGAAAUCCCACAGCUCAACUGUGGAACUGCUCGGUAUACUGCUUUUCUUGAGCCACUUAGGGGCUACCGGAACAAAUGGUGGAGCGGUGAAAUGCGUAGAUAUCAUUUGGAACGCCAAUGGUGAAAACAGGUAGCUGGGAGUGUGCUGACGCUGAGGCGCGAGAGCGUGGGGAGCAAACAGG